GGUGUGUCUCCCAACGAAGUAGACUUUGCGUGUCUGAGGGACGACAUCACCUCGCGGAUUACCCACGGGAACGAAUACCCACCCAUGCUGCUACCCUACAAGCACAUGAUAGAAGAAAACGCCGCUAAAGUUAUACACGCGGUGUAUGCUGGAAGGACUGGUGGCCGAAACCGACACGACGUAACGAAGCUUUCCAUUGGUCAGCUGCUCUACACAUUAUUAUACAAUAUAGAAAACGGAGCGGAUGAAAAAACGUGUCCAAAAUUAUACCUAUUUUCAGGUCACGACACGACCUUGGCCCCGAUGCUGGUGGCCUUGGGAAUCUGGGAUUGUCGAUGGCCACCGUUCAGUGGGAAUAUUUUAUUCGAGUUGUAUAAACACAAGGAGACGGAUCAGUUCUUUGUGAGGGUCUUGUACUGU